rnacentral:rRNA from 1 species
AAUCAACGCUGGCGGCGUGCCUCAGACAUGCAAGUCGAACGCGAAAUUUCCCUUCGGGGAGAAAGUAGAGUGGCGCACGGGUGAGUAACACGUAGGUAAUUUGCCUUUGGGUGGGGAAUAACUCAGGGAAACUUGAGCUAAUACCGCAUAAUGCAGCGGCUCGACAUCGAGACAGUUGUUAAAGCGGGGGAUUGGAGCAAUCCGACCUCGCGCCUAAAGAGAAGCCUGCGGCAGAUUAGCUGGUUGGUAAGGUAAUGGCUUACCAAGGCGACGAUCUGUAACCGGCCUGAGAGGGCGGUCGGUCACACUGACACUGACAUACGGGUCAGACUCCUACGGGAGGCAGCAGUCGGGAAUUUUGGGCAAUGGGCGCAAGCCUGACCCAGCAACGCCGCGUGAAGGAUGAAAUUUUCGGAAUGUAAACUUCGCAAGAACAGGAAGAAUAAGUGUGGGACAAUACCCACAUGAUGACGGUACUGUUUGU